AGCCGGUAUGUUGGGUCUCGCCUGCAGGAAGUGGAGUGCGAGUCUUGUUGAAGUCCACCGCGACCAGAGAGGCGUCACAGACAUCGCAGCUCUCUUGAACAACCUAUGGGAAGAGAGAAAACCGCAGAAAUUGAUAGAGAGGCAACGAAGGAGCGAGAGGGGAAGACAAGCAGCAAAGGUCCACAGGAUGCUUUCGAACCCGGGCCGCUGCGGACUCAGCCUUGUACAUGGUCCCCUACCACUGCCACAGCUGUGUCAUCAGCAAAACUGAUAAUGGUGUUAAGAGUCUGAAGUCCUGGGGUGCUUCAGUGUUAGUGGAAGAGGUGUGUCCACC